CAGUCGCGUCUGCUGGGACUCAGCCUUGCUUCUGCUUGGUGCACUUCUCAGUAGAUGGGCCAGCAUCAAUUUUGGGCGCCGGAAAAGGNUGAGAGGAAUGUAGCUUCGAUCUCGUAUUGAAGUGUUA
rnacentral:rRNA from 1 species